rnacentral:rRNA from 1 species
UACGUAGGGUGCAAGCGUUUAAUCGGAAUUACUGGGCGUAAAGCGUGCGCAGGCGGUGAUGUAAGACAGAUGUGAAAUCCCCGGGCUCAACCUGGGACCUGCAUUUGUGACUGCAUCGCUAGAGUACGGUAGAGGGGGAUGGAAUUCCGCGUGUAGCAGUGAAAUGCGUAGAUAUGCGGAGGAACACCGAUGGCGAAGGCAAUCCCCUGGACCUGUACUGACGCUCAUGCACGAAAGCGUGGGGAGCAAACAGG